CCUGCUGAUGAUAUAAAAAACUGACGCUAUGCUCUCUAUAAAGGCCGCUUAAUGCUUCCCUGCAAGUAUAGGUUGAUUUGGGAAGUUCAGAUUCUGAGCUGGCGUUGUUUCUUACUCACUUAUCUUUCAGGUGGAGUCACUAAAGAGUGGCCAUAUUAAAUAUAUGACGAUGAUGACGUCCUUCGGACUUCUCCCAAUGUUCCUGUUGUUUCUUCAAGCUCAUACAGCCAUGGGCGCCGUGAUUUUGGUGCCGGGAGUAGUGACAUUCGGCGGUAAUGUCGCCCAGAAACCUCCUCCAGUAGUCCUGACUGAUGGCAGUGGAAAAAACAAAGUAGUGGGCAAUGCAAAUCCUCUUACCGGUGUGGUUGCUUUGGACGCCGAUAAGCUCAAAGAUGGCCUCGGUGAAGCAACAGCUCAGGAUCCGCCAUCGUCACAGCCACCAGCACCACCAACCCCAGGGGAUGAUGAAGAUAAUACACCAGAAGGGGAGGCAGAUAAUCCAUCAACGGGGCAAGAAGAUGACCCAGUAGAGGAGGAUGAAAAUGAGCCAGCAGAGGACAAUGAAGCUGAGCAAGUAGAGGAUGAUGCAGAGGAGCCAACAGAGGAUGAGCAACCACCGGAGCAGCCAGAGGAGUCAGAUGAAGCAGAGGAAGAGGGGGCAGAGGAAGAGGGGGCAGAGGAAGAGGGGGCAGAGGAGCCCGCUGCCAGAAGCGAUCAGGCUGCCUGACUCCUAUUUCCAUGGCUGCAAUGACAAGAUCCAGUUCAGCUGUGUCACUGAAUGCAUCGCGAAAAAGGACGUCCAAUUCCGUGCAACUUUGACGAGCUUCCACCUUACUGGGCGAAGACCUCUGGUGUCUGAAGCGCGGUCGUUUUCGCGGAGUAUAUAGCACAUGCCGUCAUCACGAGCUAUUUGUGAGCCCAGCUGAUUGUCCUAAAUGACAAGUCUUUUACCCACGAUAUCACAUAGGACAUGAUGGCCCGAUGCAAUCGAAAAAAUUCAACGGAGAAUAAAAUUAUUUCGAAAUCCCUGCCAUACUU